UACGUAGGCAGCGAGCGUUGUUCGGAGUUACUGGGCGUAAAGAGUGCGUAGGCGGUUUUCUAAGUUUGGUGUGAAAUCUCCCGGCUUAACUGGGAGGGUGCGCCGAAAACUGGAAGGCUUGAGUAUGGGAGAGGUAAGCGGAAUUCCUGGUGUAGCGGUGAAAUGCGUAGAGAUCAGGAGGAACACCCAUGGCGAAGGCAGCUCUCUGGUCGACAUCUGACGCUGAGACGCGAAAGCGUGGGGAGCGAACGGG
rnacentral:rRNA from 1 species